rnacentral:rRNA from 1 species
UACGUAGGGUGCAAGCGUUUAAUCGGAAUUACUGGGCGUAAAGCGUGCGCAGGCGGUUUUGUAAGUCUGUCGUGAAAUCCCCCGGGCUCAACCUGGGAAUGGCGAUGGAGACUGCAAGGCUAGAAUCUGGCAGAGGGGGGGUAGAAUUCCACGUGUAGCAGUGAAAUGCGUAGAGAUGUGGAGGAACACCGAUGGCGAAGGCAGCCCCCCUGGGUCAAGAUUGACGCUCAUGCACGAAAGCGUGGGGAGCAAACAGG